CGUGUUGCUUGCGCCGGAAUUUAUUUGGUUUUUGUUAUUUACAAAUUCCGCAGCCGCUAAAAAAUGAGAAGAAAAAGCCAUAGUAGCGAGUUUCUCGCUCUCCGGCUUUUUUGGCUUUCGGGUAUGGGUAUUUUUGACAUUUUGCUUUGCUCAUCGCUCUUUUUGUUUUGGGCGCCUCUUCUUGUCUAACCAUCAAUGUCAAUCUUGGUGGCAUUGCUUUUUGCCUUUUGGCCACUUUUUCGCCCUCUUUUUGCCACAUUCUCCAAUCUCCAAUCCACUCCGCGCAGUCGGCGACAAGAGUGUAAAAAUAUUGCCACAUUAUUCCACUGCAGCUGGGGAUGUUCGUACUUCGGGGCUCUGCCACAAAAGUUGCAUGACAGAUAUAGAAGGGAGCUAUCGGCAGUCUACCUAAUGACGAAUCGCACCAGGAGAUUAUUUAAAAAUGUGAAAAAAAAUGUGUUUAAAAGAUUGAAACUUUGAAGAAGCAUAUUAAAAUAACAAGCCAAGGCCAUUACAACUAAUGUAUAAAUAUAUUUUAAAACAGUGGUGACGAACAUAUUAAUAUCUUAAACUUAUGAUAAAAAAAGAAAUUUAUUAUACAGUUCGUAAAAAUGUAUGAUGAUAUUCUAUGCCUAUCUUACCAUCUUUUCAUGUUUCUAUUGUUCGCUCGAACAUAUAUAUAUCAAGAGUAAUGACUUAAUUAAUGGAAUAUUUAUUGCUUUGUAUACAACAAUUUAAAAAUAUUUCAUUACCGGUAAUAAAGUAAAAAUCUGCUUUUUAAAAUCCAGAAGUACAAAAAAUGUUACCCAUCACCUGUCCGGAAUCCUAUGAGGAAACUGUCGCUUUCCAAUGUAUUUAUUAAUUUUGAAGUCGAACUAAUAUCUUUUAUGAAAUCAUCACCUGUCCGGAAUCCUAUGAAGAAACUGUCACUUUCCAAUGUAUUUAUUAAUUUUGAAGUCGAACUAAUAUCUUUUAUGAAAACAAAGAAGAGGCUAGUUGUACGCAUUAUACAUAUAUCGAAAAAGUUUGAUCUUGGCAAAAGGGGUUUUUUAUAUAUUAAAUUUGUAUAUUGUAAAUAUAGCAAUGUUACAAACUUCUGGAAUUCCUGUCAAUGUUUUUAAGUUCUUGUAUCAGCAGAAAAUUCUUGAUUUGGUAUUUACGUUUAGGAAUACGGCGAUAUGGGUCAUUAUGCCAAAAUUACGAGAUACCCUUAAAAAGUAUAUACUUUAAAACAGUGUGCACUAAUUAUUUGUUAAAACAAUCGAGAAUGACAAAAUGAUUGACUAGGUUAUAUAGGUAAUUUAAUUUUUCAACUGUAUUGUCCACAAAUAUAGAAUUUUGUUGAGAUUAAGUUUGUUCCUCUUUUAUAUUAUUCUAGACAUAAUUAAUAAAGGUCAUGUGCUGGGAAUUUUGAAAAUGGAAAUGAUUACCGCCAGUUUUACUGCUUGUGCGUGUGCACAAGCAGAAUAUUAAUGAAAUACAUGCUCACAUUAGUUACGAUACAUUUUAUUUCAUCCAAAAUAAUUAAUAAUAUAAAAGUCACAGAAAGAUAUUACUAGUAUAAAACAAUAUAGGUAUAUACAGUUGUCUUAACGUAUACUUAAAUAUAUAUUUAAAAAUUCAACAAAUUUUGAAUGAAGUCAUAGUCAACAUCCAAAAUAUCUUCCGAUGAAGCAGAAGAACUAUUCGAGUCCCAGCAGAAAUUCUGUAGCAUUGGCUGAUCCUGUAUAUAAGGUUCAAUUAGGUUUUCUGUGACAGGGAUUGUUGACUCAAGACUCAGCAAAGUACUCGCCCAGCCUGAAUCGAAUUCGUUGAAGUGCAGUUGGAGAACAUCUAUUGGCUCAGGACAAAAUUCAUGGAGGUAGUCGUAGCUCUGAUGGGGUGGUGUAAUUUGACCAUCCUGUAGGACACCGCGAUCAUCCUGCCGCAGUGGAGCUGUUUCAAGAUUUGUGCUUGCAUAUUUAAGGAGGCGCUCCACGAUCUGCUCGUUCUCCAGAAGAUCUUCGCUCGAUUGGGAAGAAGGCGAAAUAGAUGUUGUCGGAGCUCCAAAGGCACCUUUCCUAUUGGUCGACUUUUUGAGUUUCAUUCGUCGAUUUUGGAACCAGAUCUUAACCUGUCUCUCUGUGAGUGCUAAACGCUGGGAUAUUUCGAUUCGCCUGGUUCGGGCUAAAUAUUUGUUGAGAUGGAACUCCCUUUCAAGUUCGAUUAGCUGAUGGCUGCUGAAUGCCGUGCGAGAUCUCUUCGAUUUCUCCGAGGACUUUGUUGAUGCAAUGGGAGCUGCUUCUACGUUGAGGUCCACGCAAGGAUACAUC